rnacentral:lncRNA from 1 species
GUACUUAUUCCUAUCUAUCAUUUUUUCAACUUAUUCCUACUGCCUAAACAUUUCAAACUAUCUCAAACCUGAGGAGUGAAUUGUGGCUAAAUAGCUUGAGGAAAAUGUUAAACCGAACCCGAGAAGAUGAAUGAGUGCGAGAAUAUCCUUGAAUCUGUCGAACCUCAGAGGAACUGGGGGACCCCAUAUCGGUACUUCUCGGCGAAAAAUAACG